GGCCAGACUCCUACGGGAGGCAGCAGUGGGGAAUAUUGCACAAUGGGGGAAACCCUGAUGCAGCGACGCCGCGUGGGUGACGAAGUAUUUCGGUAUGUAAAGCCCUAUCAGCAGGGAAGAAGAUGACAGUACCUGACUAAGAAGCCCCGGCUAACUACGUGCCAGCAGCCGCGGUAAUACGUAGGGGGCAAGCGUUAUCCGGAUUUACUGGGUGUAAAGGGAGCGUAGGCGGUUUAGCAAGUCAGAAGUGAAAGCCCGGGGCUCAACUCCGGGACUGCUUUUGAAACUGUUGAACUAGAUUGCAGGAGAGGUAAGUGGAAUUCCUAGUGUAGCGGUGAAAUGCGUAGAUAUUAGGAGGAACACCGGUGGCGAAGGCGGCCUGCUGGACUGCAACUGACGUUGAGGCCCGAAAGCGUGGGGAGCAAACAGGAUUAGAUACCCCAGUAAA
rnacentral:rRNA from 1 species